GACGAACGCUGGCGGCGUGCUUAACACAUGCAAGUCGAACGGAAAGGCCCCUUUGGGGGUACUCGAGUGGCGGACGGGUGAGUAACACGUGAGUAACCUGCCCUUGACUUCGGGAUAACUUCAGGAAACUGGGGCUAAUACCGGAUAGGAAUCCUUGCUGCAUGGUGGGGGUUGGAAAGCUUCGGCGGUUUUGGAUGGACUCGCGGCUUAUCAGCUUGUUGGUGGGGUAGUGGCUUACCAAGGCUUUGACGGGUAGCCGGCCUGAGAGGGCGACCGGCCACAUUGGGACUGAGAUACGGCCCAGACUCCUACGGGAGGCAGCAGUGGGGAAUAUUGCACAAUGGGCGGAAGCCUGAUGCAGCAACGCCGCGUGCGGGAUGACGGCCUUCGGGUUGUAAACCGCUUUCAGCAGGGGCGAAGCUUGUGGUGACGGUACCUGCAGAAGAAGCACCGGCUAACUACGUG
rnacentral:rRNA from 1 species